rnacentral:ncRNA from 1 species
UUCAUGGAGAGUUUGAUCCUGGCUCAGGACGAACGCUGGCGGCGUGCUUAACACAUGCAAGUCGAACGAUGAAGCCCUUCGGGGUGGAUUAGUGGCGAACGGGUGAGUAACACGUGGGCAAUCUGCCCUUCACUCUGGGACAAGCCCUGGAAACGGGGUCUAAUACCGGAUAAUACUCCUGCCUGCAUGGGUGGGGGUUGAA